ACUGACGCUAAUACCGCAUACGUCCACAGCGAUCAAGGUCGCAGUGGAGAAAGAUUUAUCGCUCCAGGAUGAGCCUGCGGUCCAUUAGCUUUAAUCGUGGGGUAAUGGCCUACGAUAGCUUCGAUGGAUAGCCGGCCUGAGAGGGUGAUCGGCCACACUGGAACUGACACACGGUCCAGACUCCUACGGGAGGCAGCAGUGGGGAAUAUUGCACAAUGGGCGCAAGCCUGAUGCAGCAACGCCGCGUGAGGGACGACGGCCUUCGGGUUGUAAACCUCUUUUAGCAGGGAAGAAGCGAAAGUGACGGUACCUGCAGAAAAAGCACCGGCUAACUACGUGCCAGCAGCCGCGGUAAUACGUAGGGUGCAAGCGUUGUCCGGAUUUAUUGGGCGUAAAGAGCUCGUAGGCGGUUUGUCGCGUCUGCUGUGAAAACGCGAGGCUCAACCUCGCGCCUGCAGUGGGUACGGGCAAACUAGAGUGCGGUAGGGGAGAUUGGAAUUCCUGGUGUAGCGGUGGAAUGCGCAGAUAUCAGGAGGAACACCGAUGGCGAAGGCAGAUCUCUGGGCCGUAACUGACGCUGAGGAGCGAAAGCAUGGGGAGCGAACAGGAUUAGAUACCCUGGUAGUCCAUGC
rnacentral:rRNA from 14 species